AGUAGGGUCAGCUAACUAAGCUACCUGGCCCAUACCCCGGAAAUGAUGGUCCAACCCCCUCCUCUACUA
rnacentral:tRNA from 1 species